rnacentral:rRNA from 1 species
AUUGAACGCUGGCGGCAUGCCUUACACAUGCAAGUCGAACGGCAGCACGGGUGCUUGCACCUGGUGGCGAGUGGCGAACGGGUGAGUAAUAUAUCGGAACGUACCUUAUUGUGGGGGAUAACGCAGCGAAAGCUGUGCUAAUACCGCAUAAUCCCUUAGGGGGAAAGCGGGGGACCGUAAGGCCUCGCGCAAUUAGAGCGGAGGAUACCUGAUUAGCUAGUUGGUGAGGUAAAGGCUCACCAAGGCGACGAUCAGUAGCUGGUCUGAGAGGACGAUCAGCCACACUGGGACUGAGACACGGCCCAGACUCCUACGGGAGGCAGCAGUGGGGAAUUUUGGACAAUGGGGGCAACCCUGAUCCAGCAAUGCCGCGUGAGUGAAGAAGGCCUUCGGGUUGUAAAGCUCUUUUGUCAGGGAAGAAACAGCAGCUCUAACACAGUAUGCGAAUGACGGUACCUGAAGAAUAAGCACCGGCUAACUACGUGCCAGCCGCCGCCGUAA